CCAAAAAGACAACUGUGAUGGAAGACAGUUACACAUCCCAGAUGGAAUAAGUAUCUACAUUUUUUUGCAGCUGGACAAAAGCUGGAUAUUCAAAGAAAUGUGAAGAAAUUGUGUCGAAUCCUGACAAGGUUAACCUGUAACAUUCCUGAUAGAAACAAAACCACUGAAAAUGACCAAAAAACAUUGCUAGCUAUGAUGUUUGAAAUGGGCCUGCUAAAGAAAAUGCCAAACUUCACGUGGAAAUUCAAUGGGCAAGUGUGGAAGCAGGACAGUAUGUAUGAGGUCAUUGCAUCUGAUGAUUGUACUGGCCCACACUUAGGAUAUCCUGUCCUGUGAACUUCAGAACUCAAUGCUGAAACUGGAGAUACAGAGCGGAAAGCUCCAUUCUUCAUUGAUCACAGAGGUUACAGUUCAAUUCAUCAGCAAACCUGAGAAUACCCAAAGGAAGAAUGGAAAAUCCUGUCUGGAGUAUGUGCUGAUUUUGGAAGAUGUCACUCUGAAAGAGAUGAGGAAUUGAUGGGUGAUUGAAAGAUUUCAAGUACACUAGGAAUCAUGAAGGGAAGAGAGCAGAGCUUAUCAUAAUGUUGAUGAGCCAGUGACUCAGGAACUUGUAUAGGCAUUGCUGUGUGAGACAGUGAACCUAACGACUGCUACAGCAGCUCCAUUGU